GGAAGAACUGUGGCUCAGUGGAAGAACCUUUGCUUCGCAUGCAGAAGGUCCCAGGUUCAAUCCCCAGCAUCUCCA
rnacentral:tRNA from 1 species